rnacentral:piRNA from 2 species
UAGAUUGGCUAGGGAACCUGUCAAU